AUGGCUGGGGUCAUCCGCCUGGCCUCAGCUGGCCUCGUGGGAACACCCCGCUUUGCUUUGUUCUUUUCAAAAGCACUUCCUGUUCGAUCCUCCCAUCCCCACUGGCAAGAAUAUCUACAUCUAAGAAGACAGAAAAUUCUGAGAGAGAUGGGAAUACCAGACCACCUGACCUGCCUCUUGAGAAAUCUGUAUGCAGGCCAGGAAGCAACAGUUAGAACUGGACAUGGCACAACAGACUGGUUCCAAAUAGGAAAAGGAGGACAUCAAGGCUGUAUAUUGUCACACUGCUUAUUUAACUUCUAUGCAGAGUACAUCAUGAGAAACGCUGGACUGGAGGAAACACAAGCUGGAAUCAAGAUUGCCAGGAGAAAUAUCAAUAACCUCAGAUAUGCAGAUGACACCACCCUUAUGGCAGAAAGUGAAGAGGAACUAAAAAGCCUCUUGAUGAAAGUGAAAGAGGAGAGCGAAAAAGUUGGCUUAAAGCUCAACAUUCAGAAAACAAAGAUCAUGGCAUCCGAUCCCAUCACUUCAUGGGAAAUAGAUGGGGAAACAGUGGAAACAGUGUCAGACUUUAUAUUUUUGGGCUCCAAAAUCACUGCAGAUGGUGACUGCAGCCAUGAAAUUAAAAGAUGCUUACUCCUUGGAAGAAAAGUUAUGACCAACCUAGAUAGUAUAUUCAAAAGCAGAGACAUUACUUUGCCGACUAAGGUCUGUCUAGUCAAGGCUAUGGUUUUUCCUGUGGUCAUGUAUGGAUGUGAGAGUUGGACUGUGAAGAAGGCUAAGUGCCGAAGAAUUGAUGCUUUUGAACUGUGGUGUUGGAGAAGACUCUUGAGAGUCCCUUGGACAGCAAGGAGAUCAAACCAGUCCAUUCUGAAGGAGAUCAGCCCUGAGAUUUCUUUGGAAGGAAUGAUGCUAAACCUGAAGCUCCAGUUCUUUGGCCACCUCAUGCGAAGGGUUGACUCAUUGGAAAAGACUCUGAUGCUGGGAGGAAUUGGGGGCAGAAGGAAAAGGGGACGACAGAGGAUGAGAUGGCUGGAUGGCAUCACUGACUCGAUGGACGUGAGUCUGGGUGAACUCCGGGAGUUGGUGAUGGACAGGGAGGCCCGGCGUGCUGCGAUUCAUGGAGUCGCAGAGUCGGACACGACUGAGCGACUGAACUGA
rnacentral:lncRNA from 1 species